rnacentral:rRNA from 1 species
GUGGGGAAUAUUGGGCAAUGGGCGAAAGCCUGACCCAGCAACGCCGCGUGAAGGAAGAAGGUUUUCGGAUCGUAAACUUCUAUCCUUGGUGAAGAUAAUGACGGUAGCCAAGAAGGAAGCCCCGGCUAACUACGUGCCAGCAGCCGCGGUAAUACGUAGGGGGCAAGCGUUGUCCGGAAUGAUUGGGCGUAAAGGGCGCGUAGGCGGCCCGGUAAGUCUGAAGUGAAAGUCCUGCUUUUAAGGUGGGAAUUGCUUUGGAUACUGUCGGGCUUGAGUGCAGGAGAGGUAAGCGGAAUUCCCGGUGUAGCGGUGAAAUGCGUAGAGAUCGGGAGGAACACCAGUGGCGAAGGCGGCUUACUGGACUGUAACUGACGCUGAGGUUCGAAAGCGUGGGUAGCAAACAGGAUUAGAAACCCCUGUAGUCC